rnacentral:rRNA from 1 species
ACGAAGAGGUAUCGUAAUUGAAGAGGUUUGGAAAGACCCACCACAGAAGGUAAUAGUCCUGUAUGUUAAACGAGAAGACUUCAGAUAUGAUCCAGAGUACCACGGGACACGUGAAACCCUGUGGGAAGCAGGAGGGACCACCCUCCAAGGCUAAAUACUACCUAGUGACCGAUAGCGUAUAGUACCGUGAGGGAAAGGUGAAAAGAACCCCGGGAGGGGAGUGAAAUAGAACCUGAAACCCUGCACUUACAAGCUGUGGAAGCACAUUUCUUGUGUGACCGCGUACUUUUUGUAGAACGGGCCAACGAGUUACGUUAAGUAGCAAGGUUAAGCACUUAAGGUGCGGAGCCGUAGCGAAAGCGAGUUUUAACUGAGCGUUCAGUUACUUGACGUAGACCCGAAACCGGGCGACCUACCCAUGAGCAGGAUGAAGCGAAAGUAAAAUUUCGUGGAGGUCCGAACCCACGAGCGUUGAAAAGCUCGGGGAUGACUUGUGGGUAGCGGUGAAAUUCCAAUCGAGCCCGGAGAUAGCUGGUUCUCCCCGAAAUAGCUUUAGGGCUAGCCUCAAGGUGAGAGAUACGGAGGUAGAGCACUGAAUGUCCUAGGGGGUAUUGCACCUACCGAAGACUAUCAAACUCCGAAUGCCGUCAUCUUAUACUUGGGAGUCAGACUGUGGGUGAUAAGAUUCAUAGUCGAAAGGGCAACAGCCCAGAUCGUCAGCUAAGGUCCCUAAAUGUAAGUUAAGUGGUAAAGGAUGUGGGAUUGCACAGACAACCAGG